GAUGAAGAACGCAGCGAAAUGCGAUAAGUAAUGUGAAUUGCAGAAUUCAGUGAAUCAUCGAGUCUUUGAACGCACAUUGCGCCCCCUGGUAUUCCGGGGGGCAUGCCUGUCCGAGCGUCAUUGCUGCCCAUCAAGCACGGCUUGUGUGUUGGGUCGUCGUCCCCUCUCCGGGGGGGACGGGCCCCAAAGGCAGCGGCGGCACCGCGUCCGAUCCUCGAGCGUAUGGGGCUUUGUCACCCGCUCUGUAGGCCCGGCCGGCGCUUGCCGAACGCAAAUCAAUCAUUUCCAGGUUGACCUCGGAUCAGGUAGGGAUACCCGCUGAACUUAAGCAUAUCAAUAAGCGGAGGA
rnacentral:misc_RNA from 1 species